ensembl:snoRNA Gm23613 predicted gene, 23613
GUUUAACAUAUUGAGUUCAGUUGAGGGCAGCUUCCCUGUUCUGUUAAUUAAACUUUGAGACAUUGAAACUGGCUAAUGGAAAAAAAA